AUUGAACGCUGGCGGCAUGCCUUACACAUGCAAGUCGAACGGCAGCACGGGAGCAAUCCUGGUGGCGAGUGGCGAACGGGUGAGUAAUAUAUCGGAACGUGCCCAGUCGUGGGGAUAACACAGCGAAAGCUGUGCUAAUACCGCAUACGAUCUACGGAUGAAAGCGGGGGAUCGCAAGACCUCGCGCGAUUGGAGCGGCCGAUAUCAGAUUAGCUAGUUGGUGGGGUAAAGGCCCACCAAGGCGACGAUCUGUAGCUGGUCUGAGA
rnacentral:rRNA from 1 species